rnacentral:rRNA from 1 species
UACGUAGGUGGCGAGCGUUGUCCGGAUUUACUGGGCGUAAAGAGCGCGCAGGCGGCUGGUCAAGUCCGAUGUGAAAGCUCCCGGCUUAACUGGGAAAUUGCAUCGGAAACUGAUCGGCUGGAAGGUGGGAGAGGGUAGCGGAAUUCCCGGUGUAGUGGUGAAAUUCGUAGAUAUUGGGAAGAACACCGGUGGCGAAGGCGGCGACCUGGUCCGUGACUGACGCUGAGGCGCGAAAGCGUGGGGAGCAAACAGG